GACGAACGCUGGCGGCGUGCUUAACACAUGCAAGUCGAACGGAAAGGCUCUGCUUUUGUGGGGUGCUCGAGUGGCGAACGGGUGAGUAACACGUGAGUAACCUGCCCUUGACUUUGGGAUAACUUCAGGAAACUGGGGCUAAUACCGGAUAGGAGCUCCUGCUGCAUGGUGGGGGUUGGAAAGUUUCGGCGGUUGGGGAUGGACUCGCGGCUUAUCAGCUUGUUGGUGGGGUAGUGGCUUACCAAGGCUUUGACGGGUAGCCGGCCUGAGAGGGUGACCGGCAACAUGGGGAAGGAGAUACGACCGAGACCCCGAGGGGGGGAAGCGGGGGGAAAUAUGGCAAAAGGGGGGGAAGCGGGAGGCAGAACGCCGGGGUGGGGGAGGAGGCCUUUGGGUUGUUAAACGGCUUUCGCCGGUGACGAAGGGGGAGGGAGGUAAAGGGGAAAAGAGGCCCCGGCAAACUAGGUG
rnacentral:rRNA from 1 species